rfam:Schistosoma curassoni strain Dakar, Senegal genome assembly, scaffold: SCTD_scaffold0000089
AUCCAUCUAACGAGUCCCAAAUAGGACGAAACGCAUAUCAUGGAU